GAUGGUCCGCGAUCGGGCGUUGGAAUUCCUGGCCCGGGGCGAGCCGCUCGUUCUGGACAUGGUC
rnacentral:tRNA from 1 species